UAUGGCCAUAUCAUGUUGAAACAUUGGUUCCCUUAUGAUCACUGAAGUUAAGCAACAUCAAGUCUGAUCAGUACAUAAAUGGUGACCGCUUGGGAAUACCAGGUACUGUAA